rnacentral:rRNA from 1 species
UCCUACGGGAGGCAGCAGUGGGGAAUAUUGCGCAAUGGGGGAAACCCUGACGCAGCGACGCCGCGUGAAGGAAGAAGGUCUUCGGAUUGUAAACUUCUUUGGUCGGGGACGAAGAAAUGACGGUACCCGAUAAAAAAGCCACGGCUAACUACGUGCCAGCAGCCGCGGUAAUACGUAGGUGGCAAGCGUUGUCCGGAAUUACUGGGUGUAAAGGGCGUGUAGGCGGGGAUGCAAGUCAGAUGUGAAACCCCACAGCUUAACUGUGGGCUUGCAUCUGAAACUGUAUUUCUUGAGUGUUGGAGAGGGAAGUGGAAUUCCUAGUGUAGCGGUGAAAUGCGUAGAGAUUAGGAGGAACACCAGUGGCGAAGGCGACUUCCUGGCCAAUAACUGACGCUGAGGCGCGAAAGCGUGGGGAGCAAACAGGAUUAGAUACCCUGGUAGUCG